rnacentral:rRNA from 1 species
CCUACGGGUGGCAGCAGUGAGGAAUAUUGGUCAAUGGACGAGAGUCUGAACCAGCUAAGUAGCGUGAAGGAUGACUGCCCUAUGGGUUGUAAACUUCUUUUAUAAAGGCAUAAAACGAGGCACGUGUGCCUUUUUGCAUGUACUUUAUGAAUAAGCAUCGGCUAACUCCGUGCCAGCAGCCGCGGUAAUACAGAGGUUCCGAGCGUUAUCAUGAUUUAUUGGGUUGAACGUGCGCGUAGAUGUGUUGUUAAGUCAGUUGUGAACGUUUGCGGCUCAACCGUAAGAUUGCAAUUGAUACUGGCAGUCGUGAGUACAGUUGAGGUAGGCGGAAUUCGUGGUGGAG